rnacentral:lncRNA from 1 species
UCUAGUCUCCACACGCGUUGUGCCCAGUCUAGUGACCAUCUCCUUUAAGUUAAAAAUUGCAGCUUUAAGCACAAUAUGUGGGAGUAACUCUCGGCGCUGGUUGUUUCAGGAUCGCAGAGUGACGCGGAAACCCAGUGACAGUAAGCGGGUGCUAGUACCUCCGACGAGAUGAGUGACUGCCCGGGAGGGCUGGAGGAAGCUUGUAUGAGACAGGUAAUUGUAAUUUCAUUUUCGCGCUUGCGAAGCAAUUCAUAAGACGUAUUUUAAAUUUGAGAUUUUCUUUAGUUAUGCCGCCACAAGUACAAGGAAUUUCAUUGAUAGGGGUGCCGUGUGUUUGUUUUCAUUUGCCCAGAAACUAGGUAAAGGUUAUGUGUUUUAACAUUUUUUCUGUGCUGAUAGGCCUAAGGUUAGAAUGAAUUAUAUCUGUCAAGGCGUGGCGCAGUCUGUGUCUAUUUGGAGAAGAGGUAUGUGUGUGUGUGUGCGUGCGUGCGUGCGUGCGUGCGUGUUCGUUUGUUUGUUAGUUCGUUGGGGGAGAAAGAGGAGAUGAAGAAGAGGAGGAGGGUGAGGGAUCACGUCGAAUCAUUCAAAUCGUUAACUCUGACAGUAAUGAGGUAGGAAGGAUACCUGCUAGUUACACCGGUUCGGUUUUGUGCCAAACUCAAAUUGCGUUUUGCCGCGUAAAUAUUGCUACAAUUUUUUCUUUCAUUAACAAAAUUAAUUUUGAGGCAUGCUGUUGACAAAUAGGACCCCUGUUUUCAAUCCCAGUCCAGGUUAUUCGCGACUCCAGCGAACUAUAGAUGGCGCGCUGCUCAGGCAAAAUUCGGACGAAAGAAGGUCGUUUUCGUUGUUCAGCAUGCGGACCAUCACAAAUUCCUGCACUGCAGCGUGAGAUCGGUGUUACAUUUGAAUGCAAAGCGAUUUUUCGACCCUAGAAACGUUCGUCUACUCAGUGCGUAGGAAGGACCCGGUGGAAUCAUUAAAAUAAUUACUGAAAACAAUGUUUGUUUCUAUGCUGCCUACGAGAACCAAGCAGCGAUAGCAGACGACAGAGUCGGGACAACCUCCUCUCCUGAGCUUCUCGGCGCUGCCGCUACGCGGCGUUGAUUUCGCUGGAGUCACAAAUAUUGCGCUGGUAAAUUUCCUGUACAUAGUGCUGCUUCAAAGAUGAACUGAAGUUUAUGUCUUCUAUGUGUGCAUUGGUAAUGGCAUGUGGCUCAACAAGACUUCACACACGAAAGUUCUCAAAUAGAAGAGGGAAUCAAUGUUCAUCCGGUAAGGUUUGGUAAUUAUCUCCGCCACAGAUGGCCUCCUUGGCGAAUUGUAACCGGCAGACCUUCAAACCGCACAAAGGCUAAGCAAAGCCACAACUGGAUGCAGCAAGACUAAAAGCUUUAUAAUAUACUGUAAGGACUAUGGCUUUAUAAUAAGCCUUUUAUAGCAAAACAUACUGAUCUGAAAAGUGUUGUUUGUGGUUAUUUUAAAGUGGUAUACGGAAACUUCGUCGUAUUGUAUUAAUUCUGGUUCACUGCACAGUUAAAAGGUUUGUCUUCGUUUGCUGCCAGAGAAAUAUAGCUUGCGAUGAACUAAAUCAAAGUUAUGACUGCUGGUGUCAUGUACAUAUUCAGAACUUUUUUUUAUUAAAGUAAUUGUAAUCAAGUGUUUUUAUGGGUUUUAGCACUGUGAUUAAGAUAUGUCAAUGUGUUUUCUAAGAAAGACUACUAAUUUGCAGUUUGUAUCUUCUCCUAAAAUAUUUUGUAGAUCUGAGCAUGUAUUCAUACCUGAAUAUGUGCCAGGCAUUCCCCAGUAUGUGUAUAAUUGUUUACUAGGCCUGUAAGCUUCCCCACUACAUCAUUGCCGCUAUGUUAGCGCAUCCCAGCUAUUAUUCGAGAGAGAUAAGUGUUUCUCAUGAUCAAUUAGGUUGAGAUUGUUUAGCGUUAAUGUUUUUGAGUCCCCCAUUUUUAAUUCCUGACAGAGCGCUUCAAUGUCCGUUUAUUUUUGGUUUGCCGCUAUUUAUCACCACAAGCAAAAACAUCACGCCACUGGGAUUAACCUGAAGCUCACCUCAUGAUUAACGACGCUGCCGUCCACUGUCUUAAGGUGGGCCUACGUUCAUGGGUACUUGUCUAGUGGUUCUGGAGUUGAUGUUGCUGAGAUAACCGAGACGCCGAUUUCUACGAUGGCCUCUGUCAGCAUCAUGGUCAAUUACAGCUGGCCCGAGCCCGAACCAGGCCAAUCAACGUGCUGGCCUGAACCAGGCCAAUCAACGUGCUGGCCCGAGCCCGGCCCGGGCCCACAGUCAAAAGUCCGAGCCCAUCCCAGGCCUGGGCUUUCGGCUCAGCAAAGUCUGCGGAUCUGGUUAUGCUUCCUGUACGAGACAGAUCACGAAGCGGUUGCUGACUGACCAGUUGGGGCAAAAAUUUUUGUGGGAAGGACGUAAGAGAAAGUUGACAUUCAGGAACCUUCACCUUGCUGAGUGCAUCAUAAAUGCAGUGCAGAGCUGCCAUAAAUGUGAAGACUUCAAGGUAGAAACCAUGGUCACGGAUUAACUUGAAACCAUGGUCACGGAUUAACUUCGCCACGCACCUGCCUGACAUCAGUCAUCUCAAAUGGAACAUUCUGCAAAACAGGAGAGAGAGAUGUGAACUGCCUUAAGUGGGCCUUGAAUGCGCUGAGCUUUUUAUUAUGUUUAUCAGACAUUUUUUUUAAGCAAAGUAUCCUGCAUUGUUCAGUAAGUAUACUUUAUUUUGAAAACCUCAUGCUGUCUAUGCAGCAUUGUUCAAAAAUUAUACUUUAUUUUAAAAGCAUCAAGCACUGCUCGUCUGUCUAACAGUAACAAUAAAGAGUUAAUGGCGAUUUGUUUGGCACUGCAACUUUUUCUACAGAACGGAUGUGCAUGCCUGACAGGCUGGGCAGGAAUUUAGUGCGCUACUCACGUUCAAAGUUACGCUGCAAGACUGCAGCGGCAUCUUUUGCCAUGCAGUCGGUGCUACAGCUCUCAUGGAAUUCUGGUGUCCUCGUCACUAGAGCAUAUGACUACUGAAGCCUUAGACUUCAGUAGUCAAUUCCUCAGGGCCGUUCGUCAUAGCUUAUGACAAUGUUUGUGUCCAGUAUUUCAGUUCUCUCGCAUGUGGCGAGGUCCACCUCACUAAAACGAGUCAGCAUCAGUAGUGUCGCCUUCCUUGUCAGUGUCGUCUGCAUUGAUCCUGUGGUAAAGCUUCUGAGCUUGAUGGUGAAAAAAAAACUUCAAUAUAAAGAAUGUCUGCUGCGGGCCUGAUUGCUACAUUAUACAUCUGUAAUGCGCCAUUUGGGUAUACAUUGAGAGCAUGCACGGGCCAUACAGCAAAUCUGCCCUCUGAGCUCUUGUUUUGUAAAGAAUUGGACUCUUAUCCGUUUAAAUUUUUCUGUAGGACAGUUUACACGCUAUAUGCUAGCAUAAAAUGAAGGCUGCUUAGGCACUUCCUUGCCCUCCUGGCAUAGGGCUGGUCCCUAUACCAGGAAAGGUAAUAUUUCUGAGGUAUGUACAUGGUACAUCCACAGGAUCAGGCUGAACAUCCUACAAUGGUCCUGAAUGUCCAGCUGCAUCAACCAGAUUGCGUUAGUGGUACGUUUUCUGAAGAACCAUUUUGCACUGCACAGUAGAUACUUUCAAUGUUGGAUGAAUCGUAGCAGAUAUCCACUGGAUAUGUUAAAUGUCCGAACAACACAUCUCUCGGAUGUUUAAUAGACGGUUGCUGGUUGACUGGGUACCAUCAAACCAAUGUGCACCGGGGCACCUGUUGUCAAUUACCGCUCAUUGGUUUUCGCCCCCUAAACGCCAUCAACCCAAUGUGCACAGGGGUGCCUGUCGUCAAUUGCCGCUUAUUGGUUUUCGCCCCAUAAAUACCAUCAAUCCAAUGGGCACGGGGGGCCUGUUGCCAAUAGCCGCUCAUUAGUUUUUGCCCCAUAAAUACCAUCAACCCAAUGUGCACAGGAGCACCGGUUGCCAAUUGCUGCUCAUUGGUUUUUGCCCCAUAAAUACCCUCAAUGCAAUGUGCACUGGGGUACCUGUUGCCAAUUGCUGCUCAUUGGUUUUUGUUUCAUAAAUGCAAUCA